GGACUGUGAUGAUGAGUGAAGGGAAAAACGGUCUGUCUAGUUACUGGACCAGAUGAAAUGAGACGGAGAGGUAAUAAAGUCUGUCGGCACGAGGACCUUGGAUUUAUUAAGUCAUGUAUGUGUUAUGUGUUAAAAGUUGACUAUAUUAUAAGGUGACUGCCAUGUGAUGUGCUCAUUAAGCUAGGGUAGGAGUUAGCUAUAUUUAUAAUGUACAUGUGAUGUGCUCAGCAGGUUAUUUUGCCCAACAUGAGAGACCAGGAACCAGCAGAGAUGUUCCUAACAGAGCAAGAAGAAGAGCAAGAGGUCGCCGGGGACGUGGACCUGCUGUUCUUACUCAUGAUGAUUUACUCAGAGUUCAGCAAUUUCAGCAGGAGAGGAUUGCCGCUGAGCAGGCUAGAAUUCAAGCUCUAGACAUCACACAGUCUCAUGAGCUGCUUCUGACCUGCCUGGAAAGGGACCCAAGCAUGCUGUUUGACCUGAUGGCACGAUUCCCAAAUUAUUUGAACACCCGGGCAACCAGAGUGGUGUGUCUGUGGCAGAUGCAGGCAGAUGAUUAGAGACAUUGAGAAGGUGUGCUGCCGACAAACGCUGGACAAUUGCAUCUCUGUCCUGCCUCACAUGGAUGCAUUCAUCUUGCAGCCGGGGGUCCUCCGCAUGGCUAGACGCAUCUGGAAUGACUCCCGAGCAUUAGAAGAUGCACAAACACCGGGGGAAAGCCACAGGCAGUUCCGCUUUUCUGCAUAUAGACAGUAUAUCAUUUAGCAGUAUGGUCAACUUGGACAAGGCCACAGAGUUGUCAUACCAAAUUGCUCUGUUUGGAGAAUACGUGAAAAAUACCCAGACCCCAAUGGGAUCUACAAAGGUUUUAUCCCUAGCCGAAAUGGUAUAGAUGAGGAAUAGACUCCAGCCCAGUGUACCCUGCCCUGUGAAUU
rnacentral:lncRNA from 1 species